GACGAACGCUGGCGGCGUGCUUAACACAUGCAAGUCGAGCGGUAAGGCCCUUUCGGGGGUACACGAGCGGCGAACGGGUGAGUAACACGUGGGUGACCUGCCCUCAGCUCUGGGAUAAGCCUGGGAAACCGGGUCUAAUACUGGAUAUGACUCCAUGACGCAUGUUGUGGGGUGGAAAGCCUUGUGCGGCUGAGGAUGGGCCCGCGGCCUAUCAGCUUGUUGGUGGGGUGANGGCCUACCAAGGCGACGACGGGUAGCCGGCCUGAGAGGGCGACCGGCCACACUGGGACUGAGACACGGCCCAGACUCCUACGGGAGGCAGCAGUGGGGAAUCUUGCGCAAUGGGCGAAAAGCCUGACGCAGCGACGCCGCGUGAGGGAUGACGGCCUCGUU
rnacentral:rRNA from 1 species